GCAGUACGUGUUUGUUAACUCUGUAGUAUUAACACAUGAUUAACACCUGUAUUCAAGACGUCGACCUCUUUACAGUUUCAUUGUGAAACCCUUCCUGUGGAGAGGUGAUCCUUGGCACCAGUAGUGUGGAAGAGGAGCGAGAGGCACACCAACACCAGCAGAUGAGUCUCCGUUUAAUACUUGGGAUAUUAUAACAGUAAGUUAUAGCUCCGAUAGUCUUCCAGCAGCAGCAAAUGUUACACAGUCCUAUAGAGGCAAACUUGAAGUAUAAGGUAAUAGUGUUUUGCAUACAAUGGCAAACUUGACCUUUCGCUUAAAAUGGAGUAUCGGCUUUGAAAUUUGGUCACUGGAUACAACUAUAUUAUCUUUCAUGUUGAUAGCAGCAAUCAUCAGAUUGCAAUCCAGUUAAGUACCUGUGAGGCAUGAGAUGUCAAAAAUACUUGUGGGUUAUUGGUAGCCUGUGUCAAGGCAUGUGGCACCUCAAAGUUUAUAACUACUCAUAUAUGCAGCAACUGCUGAAGCAGCCUCUGGCAGUUUAUUGAAGUUCCGUGAACAAAGUGUUGUGUGGUCUGUUUGUGUAAAGUGAUAAAGAAAAAUGUUAAAGUGUAAUUGCAUAUGUAAUUGUGUAUAUAUUUAAUCAUUAUUUUUGUUAGUUGUAAGAUCUAUUUUCAUGUAAAUCAGAACAUUGUAUAAUAGGUAACAACUGAAUGAGGCAGUGUAGCUAUUAACAGCACUGACCUCAUAUUCGGGAGGAUGGGGUUCGCUCUGUCUGGCCAUCCUGGAUCGCUAAGGCAAAUGCCGGGAUGGUUCCUUCAUCAAGGCCACGGCUGACCACCUGUCCCGCCCUUAAAGAGAUCCUUUAAACAUUGUGUGUAUACCCAUAUUUUGAAUUAUUGAUGUUUGUUGUAUUAUGUUGAGAUAUUCUUGGAUGAAAUAAAAAAAGUUUAUACAUUUGUA